GACGGAGGAGGCAAGGCGUUAUCCGGAAUUAUUGGGCGUAAAGCGUCCGCAGGCGGCUUUUUAAGUCUGUUGUCAAAGCCCACAGCUCAACUGUGGAUCGGCAAUGGAAACUGGGAGCUAGAGUGUGGUAGGGGUAGAGGGAAGUUCCCGGUGUAGCGGUGAAAUGCGUAGAUAUCGGGAAGAACACCAGUGGCGAAGGCGCUCUACUGGGCCGACAACUGACGCUGAGGGACGAAAGCUAGGGGGAGCGAAAGGG
rnacentral:rRNA from 1 species